CAGCCGCCACGGUAAUACGUAGGGUGCAAGCGUUAAUCGGAAUUACUGGGCGUAAAGCGUGCGCAGGCGGUUUUGUAAGACAGAGGUGAAAUCCCCGGGCUCAACCUGGGAACUGCCUUUGUGACUGCAAGGCUAGAGUACGGCAGAGGGGGAUGGAAUUCCGCGUGUAGCAGUGAAAUGCGUAGAUAUGCGGAGGAACACCGAUGGCGAAGGCAAUCCCCUGGGCCUGUACUGACGCUCAUGCACGAAAGCGUGGGGAGCAAACAGGAUUAGAUACCCCGGUAGUCCCUGUCUCUUAUAC
rnacentral:rRNA from 1 species